GAUGAAGAACGUAGCGAAAUGCGAUAAGUAAUGUGAAUUGCAGAAUUCAGUGAAUCAUCGAAUCUUUCAACGCACAUUGCGCCCCCUGGUAUUCCGGGGGGCAUGCCUGUUCGAGCGUCAUUUCACCACUCAAGCCUCGCUUGGUAUUGGGCAACGCGGUCCGCCGCGUGCCUCAAAUCGACCGGCUGGGUCUUCUGUCCCCUAAGCGUUGUGGAAACUUUCGCUAAAGGGUGUUCGGGAGGCUACGCCGUAAAACAACCCCAUUUCUAAGGUUGACCUCGGAUCAGGUAGGGAUACCCGCUGAACUUAAGCAUAUCAAUAAGCGGAGGA
rnacentral:misc_RNA from 1 species